rnacentral:rRNA from 1 species
CAGUCGCCACGGGAAUACGUAGGGUCCAAGCGUUAAUCGGAAUUACUGGGCGUAAAGCGUGCGCAGGCGGUUAUAUAAGACAGAUGUGAAAUCCCCGGGCUCAACCUGGGAACUGCAUUUGUGACUGUAUAGCUAGAGUACGGCAGAGGGGGAUGGAAUUCCGCGUGUAGCAGUGAAAUGCGUAGAUAUGCGGAGGAACACCGAUGGCGAAGGCAAUCCCCUGGGCCUGUACUGACGCUCAUGCACGAAAGCGUGGGGAGCAAACAGGAUUAGAUACCCGUGUAGUCCCUGUCUCUUAUAC